rnacentral:RNase_P_RNA from 1 species
GUAGGGAAGUGCUUAACUAACGCACGAAAGUGUGAGGAAAGUCCGCUCACUAUUUUUACGUUGCAUUCAUGCAAUUGUGGAAAUGUAGCUACCUUUGAAAGAAGGAUUCAGAAAUGGAUGGCAACCAUACAGAAACGCACUUGCAGCACUGGGUAUGAUAAUGAUGACGAAUCAUCUGUAAAAGGAUGAGAGUAAAAAUUUGACCAUCUUUGCUGGACAAGAUGAAACGAAGGCCCUGGCUUGUGCAAGUCCAUUACGGACGCAUAGUCGAAUGUUAAGAAGGACUGUUCUCCCAGAGAAGUCCUACAAAAAGCGGCUUACAGCUUCCCUAC